rnacentral:rRNA from 1 species
UACGUAGGGUGCGAGCGUUAAUCGGAAUUACUGGGCGUAAAGCGUGCGCAGGCGGUUCGCUGUGUCCGAUGUGAAAGCCCCGGGCUUAACCUGGGAAUGGCAUUGGAAACUGGCGGGCUUGAGUGCGGCAGAGGGGGUGGAAUUCCGGCGUGUAGCAGUGAAAUGCGUAGAGAUGCGGAGGAACACCGAUGGCGAAGGCAGCCCCCUGGGUCGACACUGACGCUCAGGCACGAAAGCGUGGGGAGCAAACAGG